CAACUACUCCCUCUGUCCCAAAUUUCUUGUCUUAGAUUUGUCUAGAUACGGAUGUAUCUAAUACUAAAAUGUGACUUGAUACAUCCGUAUCUAGAAAAAUCUAAGACAAGAAUUUUGGGACGGAGGGGUACUUU
rnacentral:pre_miRNA from 1 species